rnacentral:rRNA from 1 species
GAUGAACGCUGGCGUCGUGCCUAAUACAUGCAAGUCGAGCGAACAGACGAGGAGCUUGCUCCUCUGACGUUAGCGGCGGACGGGUGAGUAACACGUGGAUAACCUACCUAUAAGACUGGGAUAACUUCGGGAAACCGGAGCUAAUACCGGAUAAUAUAUUGAACCGCAUGGUUCAAUAGUGAAAGACGGUUUUGCUGUCACUUAUAGAUGGAUCCGCGCCGCAUUAGCUAGUUGGUAAGGUAACGGCUUACCAAGGCAACGAUGCGUAGCCGACCUGAGAGGGUGAUCGGCCACACUGGAACUGAGACACGGUCCAGACUCCUACGGGAGGCAGCAGUAGGGAUUCUUCCGCAAAGGGCGAAAGCCUGACGGAGCAACGCCGCGUGAGUGAUGAAGGUCUUCGGAUCGUAAAACUCUGUUAUUAGGGAAGAACAAAUGUGUAAGUAACUAUGCACGUCUUGACGGUACCUAAUCAGAAAGCCACGGCUAACUACGUG